rnacentral:rRNA from 1 species
ACUCCUACGGGAGGCAGCAGUGGGGAAUUUUGCGCAAUGGGGGAAACCCUGACGCAGCAACGCCGCGUGAGUGAUGAAGGCCUUCGGGUCGUAAAGCUCUUUUAGUGGGGAAGAAGACCUCCAGGACUAAUAUUCCUGGAGUAUGACGGUACCCACAGAAAAAGUUCCGGCUAACUACGUGCCAGCAGCCGCGGUAAUACGUAGGGAGCAAGCGUUGUUCGGAAUUAUUGGGCGUAAAGAGCGCGUAGGCGGUUUAGUAAGUCCGAUGUGAAAUCCCAGAGCUUAACUCUGGAACUGCAUUGGAAACUGCUAGGCUAGAGUGCGGGAGAGGUGAGUGGAAUUCCCAGUGUAGAGGUGAAAUUCGUAGAUAUUGGGAGGAACACCGGUGGCGAAGGCGGCUCACUGGACCGCAACUGACGCUGAGGCGCGAAAGCUAGGGGAGCAAACGGGAUUAGAUACCCCGGUAGUCCUAGCCGUAAACGAUGGGCACUAGGUGUAGGAGGUAUCGACCCCUCCUGUGCCGCAGCUAACGCAUUAAGUGCCCCGCCUGGGGAGUACGGUCGCAAGACUAAAACUCAAAUGAAUUGACGG